AUAUAGAGCUAGGGUUUAUUAUUUCUCCACAGCUUUAAAGAAGAGUUGCGCACCGAGAUAGAGAGAGGGAGAGGGGAAGAGAGAGACGCCGCCUGGUAGAUUGUUGCCACCACCAGCAAAAUGGCGAGAGGUUUGAAGAAACACUUGAAGAGGCUCAAUGCCCCAAAACAUUGGAUGUUGGA